CCAUUUGCAUCUUGUUUAGUUUUGAGAGGUCUUGUGGGGCCUUAGCUCAGCUGGGAGAGCGCCUGCUUUGCACGCAGGAGGUCAGCGGUUCGAUCCCGCUAGGCUCCAUUGAAUCGAAAGGUUCAAAUUGUUCAUUGAAAAUUGAAUAUCUAUAUCAAAUUCCACGAUCUAGAAAUAGAUUGUAGAAAGUAACAAGAAAAUAAACCGAAAACGCUGUGAAUAUUUAAUGAGUUUUCUAGUUUUAAAGA
rnacentral:tRNA from 1 species